rfam:Corynebacterium durum F0235 genomic scaffold Scfld60, whole genome shotgun sequence.
GGGGCUGAUAUGGUUUCGACUUCGUACAUUGAGUCAGGGGAAGCGUGCCGGUGCAGGCUAGAGACCACCGUAAGCGUCGUAGCAAACUCAUAAGCGCCGAGAAUACUCAGCGCGACUACGCCCUCGCUGCCUAAUACAGCGACCGCGUGUCUGUCGGCCCAGGUUUGUCCCUGACCUGGCAGUCGGCAUCGACUAAGGGACUUGCUGCCCAGCCGUGUUGACGGGGUUGGGUGGGACUUCAUACCGCCAACUGGGCCCAUCAUCUGGACGUGUUCGACCGAUCCAGAGGGCCGAGUAGAGAUUCCGCGCGAACUGCGCACGGAGAAGCCCUGGCAAAGUGACGGAGGACCCGGGUUCAAUUCCCGGCAGCUCCACAG